rnacentral:rRNA from 1 species
GACGAACGCUGGCGGCGUGCUUAACACAUGCAAGUCGAACGGAAAGGCCCUGCUUUUGUGGGGUGCUCGAGUGGCGAACGGGUGAGUAACACGUGAGUAACCUGCCCUUGACUUUGGGAUAACUUCAGGAAACUGGGGCUAAUACCGGAUAGGAGCUCCUGCUGCAUGGUGGGGAUUGGAAAGUUUCGGCGGUUGGGGAUGGACUCGCGGCUUAUCAGCUUGUUGGUGGGGUAGUGGCUUACCAAGGCUUUGACGGGUAGCCGGCCUGAGAGGGUGGCCGGCCACCAUGGGCCUGCGAGAGGGCCCAGACGGCAAUGGGAGGCAAUGGGCGGGAACCUUACACAACGGGCCGGCGUCGGAGGCAACAACCCCGGGUUCGGGAAGCCCGCCUUUGGGGUAAAAACCGCUUUCGCCUGAGACGAAGCGGUAGUGACGGUAAUGGGUAAAGAAGCACCGGCUAACUACGUG